AGAGUUUGAUCCUGGCUCAGGAUGAACGCUAGCGGGAGGCUUAAUACAUGCAAGUCGAACGGUAACAGGGGAGCUUGUAUCUGCUGACGAGUGGCGCACGGGUGAGUAACGCGUACACAACUUGCCCUAAACUGGGGAAUAGCCUGGGGAAACUGAGAUUAAUACCCCAUAGUAUUACUUUUUGUCAUCUGUAAGUAAUUAAAGCUCCGGCGGUUUGAGAUGGGUGUGCGUCCCAUUAGUUAGUUGGUGAGGUAACGGCUUACCAAGGCGACGAUGGGUAGGGGGCGUGAGAGGGUGACCCCCCACACUGGUACUGAGACACGGACCCGACUCCUACGGGAGGCAGCAGUGAGGAAUAUUGGUCAAUGGGCGCAAGUCUGAUCCAGCCAUCCCGCGUGCAGGAUGAAGGCCCUAUGGGUUGUAAACUGCUUUUGUAUGGGAAGAAACCCCUCGACGUGUCGAGGGCUGACGGUACCUGAAGAAUAAGCACCGGCUAACUCCGUGCCAGCAGCCGCGGUAAUACGGAGGGUGCAAGCGUUAUCCGGAAUCACUGGGUUUAAAGGGUGCGUAGGCGGGGUUGUAAGUCAGAAGUGAAAGCUUUCAGCUUAACUGGAAAAUUGCUUUUGAUACUGCAGCACUUGAAUUAGGUUGAGGUUGGCGGAAUGUGACAUGUAGCGGUGAAAUGCAUAGAUAUGUCAUAGAACACCAAUUGCGAAGGCAGCUUGCUAGGCUUAAAUUGACGCUGAGGCACGAAAGCGUGGGGAGCAAACAGGAUUAGAUACCCUGGUAGUCCACGCCGUAAACGAUGCUAACUCGAUGUUUGGCCCUUGAGGUUGAGCAUCCAAGCGAAAGCGUUAAGUUAGCCACCUGGGGAGUACGUCGGCAACGAUGAAACUCAAAGGAAUUGACGGGGGCCCGCACAAGCGGAGGAGCAUGUGGUUUAAUUCGAUGAUACGCGAGGAACCUUACCUGGGCUCAAAUGCAGAACGACGUCUCGUGAAAGCCGGAGUUCCUUCGGGACGGACAGCAAGGUGCUGCAUGGUUGUCGUCAGCUCGUGCCGUGAGGUGUUGGGUUAAGUCCCACAACGAGCGCAACCCCUAUCUUUAGUUGCCAGCAUGUAAUGAUGGGGACUCUAAAGAAACUGCCUACGCAAGUAGUGAGGAAGGCGGGGAUGACGUCAAAUCAUCAUGGCCCUUAUGUCCAGGGCUACACACGUGUUACAAUGGCCGGUACAGAGGGCAGCUAAGCCGCAAGGUGGAGCCAAUCCCUUAAAGCCGAUCUCAGUUCGGAUUGAAGUCUGCAACUCGACUUCGUGAAGUUGGAUUCGCUAGUAAUCGCGCAUCAGCCAUGGCGCGGUGAAUACGUUCCCGGGCCUUGUACACACCGCCCGUCACACCAUGGGAGCUGGGGGUACCUGAAGUCGUUGACCUGCAAGGGGGCUGCCGAAGGUAAAACCAGUGACUGGGGCUAAGUCGUAACAAGGUAGCCG
rnacentral:rRNA from 1 species